GCACCGGCUAACUCCGUGCCAGCAGCCGCGGUAAUACGGAGGGUGCGAGCGUUAAUCGGAAUUACUGGGCGUAAAGCGCAUGCAGGUGGUUUGUUAAGUCAGAUGUGAAAGCCCGGGGCUCAACCUCGGAAUUGCAUUUGAAACUGGCAGGCUAGAGUACUGUAGAGGGGGGUAGAAUUUCAGGUGUAGCGGUGAAAUGCGUAGAGAUCUGAAGGAAUACCGGUGGCGAAGGCGGCCCCCUGGACAGAUACUGACACUCAGAUGCGAAAGCGUGGGGAGCAAACAGGAUUAGAUACCCUGGUAGUCCACGCCGUAAACGAUGUCUACUUGGAGGUUGUGGCCUUGAGCCGUGGCUUUCGGAGCUAACGCGUUAAGUAGACCGCCUGGGGAGUACGGUCGCAAGAUUAAAACUCAAAUGAAUUGACGGGGGCCCGCACAAGCGGUGGAGCAUGUGGUUUAAUUCGAUGCAACGCGAAGAACCUUACCUACUCUUGACAUCCAGAGAACUUAGCAGAGAUGCUUUGGUGCCUUCGGGAACUCUGAGACAGGUGCUGCAUGGCUGUCGUCAGCUCGUGUUGUGAAAUGUUGGGUUAAGUCCCGCAACGAGCGCAACCCUUAUCCUUGUUUGCCAGCGAGUAAUGUCGGGAACUCCAGGGAGACUGCCGGUGAUAAACCGGAGGAAGGUGGGGACGACGUCAAGUCAUCAUGGCCCUUACGAGUAGGGCUACACACGUGCUACAAUGGCGCAUACAGAGGGCGGCCAACUUGCGAAAGUGAGCGAAUCCCAAAAAGUGCGUCGUAGUCCGGAUUGGAGUCUGCAACUCGACUCCAUGAAGUCGGAAUCGCUAGUAAUCGUGAAUCAGAAUGUCACGGUGAAUACGUUCCCGGGCCUUGUACACACCGCCCGUCACACCAUGGGAGUGGGCUGCAAAAGAAGCAGGUAGUUUAACCUUCGGGAGGACGCUUGCCACUUUGUGGUUCAUGACUGGGGUGAAGUCGUAACAAGGUAGCGCUAGGGGAACCUGGCGCUGGAUCACCUCCUUA
rnacentral:rRNA from 1 species